UUCAAAAGGUUUUUUUAUCACAUUCCACUAUGUUUGCAAUGGAAACAAAUAUUCCUUCAUGCUUGCUUCCAUGCUUCAAGUCUUCUCUUCUUGCUUCCAUGCUUCAAGUCUUCUCUUUCUAAUUUGUUGAUGAGCUUGUUAAAUUUGAUACUCUUUCUUCCUUGCUUCAAGUGCUUUCUCCCUUACUUUGAAAAAUUGAUUGAUGGUUCGAUACAAAUAAGUGAGGAGGAGCAUGUAUAGCACUGGCAUAUGAAUUCCUAAAAUAACAAAUUUCAUUUAAUUGCACUUUAUAAUCAUUGAUUUCAACUUGUAGGCUUUAACUGGUAGCCCGUAUUUCAUCUAAUUGUACCUUGUAAUCAUUGAUGUCAUCUUGUAACCUUACAAUGUCAGUUAUGGAUUUAAAUUGCGGCCAUGUUUGUGGUCACGGUUGCAGGUAAUAGAAACAGGCUUGUAACAGCUGUAACAGUAACGGUAACAGCCUAUCAU
rnacentral:misc_RNA from 1 species